UGUCGCCCGCAAGGGCGCAUGGUGGAUGCCUUGGCAGACAGUACCGACGAAGGACGUUUGAGGAUGCGAUAAGCCUCGGGGAGCCUCCAGCAUGGCUUCGAUCCGAGGAUCUCCGAAUGGGGCAACCCGCCGGCCGUCAUGGGCCGGCACCGCAGGCUUCUGCGGGGGGUACGCAGGGAAGUGAAACAUCUCAGUACCUGCAGGAAGGGAUACUCCGUGAGUAGUGGCGAGCGAAAGCGGAUCAGACCAAACCGCGCGCGCGUGAUACCCGUCGGGGGUUGCGUGCGCGGUGUUGAGGGAGCGCGUGUCCCGGUUCCGACGGACCGGGCGGGAGUCAUAAAGCGGCUUGCCAGGGGAACAGGCUUGAAGGCCUGGCCGCAGAGGGUGCCAGCCCCGUACCUGGACGCUUGCCGUCUUCCGAUCGCGUGUCCCAAGUAGCGCGGGCCUCGUGGAAUCCCGCGUGAAUCCGCACCGACCGUGGUGUAAGUCUAAGCAUACCUGUCUGACCGAUAGCGUACCAGUACCGUGAGGGAAAGGUGAAAAGCACCCCGGGAGGGGAGUGAAAGAGUUCCUGAAACCGUGCGCCUACGAUCCGUCGGAGCCUCCCUCGUGGGGUGACGGCGUGCCUAUCGAAAAAUGAGUCUGCGAGUCAGUGAUGCGUGGCGAGGCUAACCCGUCGUGGGGCAGCCGUAGCGAAGGCGAGUCCGAACAGGGCGUUUUACAGUCGCGUGUCCUGGACCCGAAGCGGGAUGAUCUAGCCCUGGGCAGGUUGAAGCGCGGGUAAGACCGCGUGGAGGACCGAACCCACCUGGGUUGAAAACCGGGGGGAUGACCUGGGGCUAGGGGUGAAAGGCCAAUCAAAUUCCGUGAUAGCUGGUUCUCUCCGAAAUGCAUUUAGGUGCAGCGUCGGCUUAUUGCAUCGCGGGGGUAGAGCUACCGGAUGCUUGCGGGCCCUUGUGGGGUACCAACAGCAGCCGAACUCCGAAUACCGUUGAUGUGUAUGCCGGCAGUGAGUCGGCGGGGGAUAAGCUCCGUCGUCGAGAGGGAGACAGCCCAGACCGUCGUCCAAGGUCCCCAAGCGUGUGCUAAGUGGGAAAGGAUGUGGGGCCGCAUAGACAGCCAGGAGGUUGGCUCAGAAGCAGCCAUCCUUGAAAGAGUGCGUAACAGCUCACUGGUCUAGUGGUCCCGCGCCGACAAUGUAGCGGGGCUCAAGCACACCACCGAAGACGCGGCGGCGCGUGUAUGCGCGCCGGGUAGGAGAGCGUCCUGCAAGGGGCGAAGCGGCCGGGUGACCGUGCCGUGGACUUUGCGGGAGUGAGAAUGCAGACAUGAGUAGCGAGAGACGGGUGAGGAUCCCGUCCGCCGGAUGACCAAGGGUUCCGGGGCCACGUUCGUCGUCCCCGGGUGAGUCGGGUCCUAAGGCGAGGCCGACAGGCGUAGUCGAAUGGAUGAACGGGUGGAUAUUCCCGUACCGGCAGCGAACCGACAGGACCGAGGCGGUGAGUACUAACCUCCGUCGCGGGCCGUUCCCCUCCUUCGGGUGGGGUCCGGCGCGUGGCGUUGGGAGCGUAGCCGUGGUAGGUGAGCGCAGGGGUGACACGGAAUGGGAGCCGGCCGCGGAGGUGGUUUUCCGUGGUCAAGCACGCAGCCGGUCGCACAGGCAAAUCCGUGCGGCGCGUACGGCGAGGUGCGAUGAUGGGAGCCGUUUCGGCUCGAUAUCCGGUGGUCCAGGCCGUCGAGAAAAGCCCCGGCGUCAGGCGCGUUGCCGCCCGUACCCCAAACCGACACUGGUGGUCAGGUAGAGAAUACCAAGGCGAUCGAGCGAAUCCUGGUCAAGGAACUCGGCAAACCGCUCCCGUGCCUUCGGCAUAAGGGAGACCCCCGCGGGUGAACGGACAUGCUCCGGGAGCGUGUGGGGGUGGCACAGACCAGGGGGUAGCGACUGUUUACCAAAAACACAGGUGCAUGCGAAGGCGUAAGCCGCUGUAUAUGCACUGACGCCUGCCCGGUGCCGGAAGGUUAAGAGGAUCCGUCAGCCCCUCUUGGGGGUGAAGCGGUGAAUUCAAGCCCCGGUAAACGGCGGUGGUAACUAUAACCAUCCUAAGGUAGCGAAAUUCCUUGUCGGGUAAGUUCCGACCUGCACGAAUGGCGUA
rnacentral:rRNA from 1 species